GACGAACGCUGGCGGCGUGCUUAACACAUGCAAGUCGAACGAAAAGAGGGAAAGAGCUUGCUCUUUCCGGAAUUGAGUGGCAAACGGGUGAGUAACACGUAAACAACCUGCCUUCAGGAUGGGGACAACAGACGGAAACGACUGCUAAUACCGAAUAAGUUCCAAGGGCCGCAUGGCCCAUGGAAGAAAAGGUGGCCUCUACCUGUAAGCUAUCGCCUGAAGAGGGGUUUGCGUCUGAUUAGCUGGUUGGAGGGGUAACGGCCCACCAAGGCGACGAUCAGUAGCCGGUCUGAGAGGAUGAACGGCCACACUGGAACUGAGACACGGUCCAGACUCCUACGGGAGGCAGCAGGGGGGAAUCUUCCGCAAUGGGCGAAAGCCUGACGGAGCAACGCCGCGUGAGUGAUGACGGCCUUCGGGUUGUAAAACUCUGUGAUCCGGGACGAAAAGGCAGAGUGCGAAGAACAAACUGCAUUGACGGUACCGGAAAAGCAAGCCACGGCUAACUACGUG
rnacentral:rRNA from 1 species